AGCUUUGCGCAGUGGCAGUAUCGUAGCCAAUGAGGUUUAUCCGAGGCGCGAUUAUUGCUAAUUGUAAACUUAUGUCUAUGCUCUUUUACUUUCGAUAGACGGUGAACUCCCUUUUAUAUUGCAUUUUACUCCAUUGUGC